rnacentral:rRNA from 1 species
AGUGAACGCUGGCGGUAGGCCUAACACAUGCAAGUCGAACGGCAGCACAGUAAGAGCUUGCUCUUACGGGUGGCGAGUGGCGGACGGGUGAGGAAUACAUCGGAAUCUACUUUUUCGUGGGGGAUAACGUAGGGAAACUUACGCUAAUACCGCAUACGACCUACGGGUGAAAGCAGGGGAUCUUCGGACCUUGCGCGAUUGAAUGAGCCGAUGUCGGAUUAGCUAGUUGGCGGGGUAAAGGCCCACCAAGGCGACGAUCCGUAGCUGGUCUGAGAGGAUGGUCAGCCACACUGGAGCUGAGACAGGGUCCAGACUCCUACGGGAGGCAGCAGUGGGGAAUAUUGGACAAUGGGCGCAAGCCUGAUCCAGCCAUACCGCGUGGGUGAAGAAGGCCUUCGGGUUGUAAAGCCCUUUUGUUGGGAAAGAAAAGCAGCAGGUUAAUACCCCGCUGUUCUGACGGUACCCAAAGAAUAAGCACCGGCUAACUUCGUG